AACCUUCUGUAUCCGUGCUGAGAUUUCGUCACACACCAGACCACAAGGGCUGAUGAGA
rnacentral:pre_miRNA from 1 species